rnacentral:tRNA from 1 species
UUCCGGUAGCUUAAAGGUAGAGCGUUUGGCUGUUAACCAUUGAUGUAUAGGUUCGAUUCCUAUUCGGAAAG